rnacentral:rRNA from 1 species
UACGUAGGGCGCGAGCGUUGUCCGGAAUUAUUGGGCGUAAAGAGCUCGUAGGCGGCCGGUUGCGUCUGCUGUGAAAUCCCGGGGCUUAACCCCGGGCGUGCAGUGGAUACGGGCCGGCUGGAGGCAGGCAGGGGAGAAUGGAAUUCCCGGUGUAGCGGUGAAAUGCGCAGAUAUCGGGAGGAACACCGGUGGCGAAGGCGGUUCACUGGGCCUGUUCUGACGC